rnacentral:rRNA from 1 species
CCUACGGGUGGCAGCAGUGGGGAAUAUUGGACAAUGGGGGGAACCCUGAUCCAGCCAUGCCGCGUGUGUGAAGAAGGCCCUCGGGUUGUAAAGCACUUUCAGUGAGGAAGAACGCCUGGUGGUUAAUACCCAUCAGGAAAGACAUCACUCACAGAAGAAGCACCGGCUAACUCCGUACCAGCAGCCGCGGUAAUACGGAGGGUGCGAGCGUUAAUCGGAAUUACUGGGCGUAAAGCGCGCGUAGGUGGCUUGAUAAGCCGGUUGUGAAAGCCCCGGGCUCAACCUGGGAACGGCAUCCGGAACUGUCAAGCUAGAGUGCAGGAGAGGAAGGUAGAAUUCCCGGUGUAGCGGUGAAAUGCGUAGAGAUCGGGAGGAAUACCAGUGGCGAAGGCGGCCUUCUGGACUGACACUGACACUGAGGUGCGAAAGCGUGGGUAGCAAACAGGAUUAGAUACCCUAGUAGUC